rnacentral:pre_miRNA from 1 species
AGAGGGAUAGCUGGGUCAAAUGGUGGUUCCAUUCCCAGAUUUCCAAGGAAUCUCCAUACUGCUUUCCAUAUUGGCUGUACCAAUUUGCAGUCUCAUCAGCAAU